rnacentral:tRNA from 2 species
AGGAACUUAGGCUAACUACCAGACCAAGGGCCUUCAAAGCCCUAAGCGGGAGUGAAAAUCUCCCAGUCCCUG